rnacentral:rRNA from 1 species
UACGGGGGGGGCAAGCGUUGUUCGGAAUUACUGGGCGUAAAGAGCUCGUAGGCGGUUUGUCGCGUCUGCUGUGAAAACCUCAGGCUCAACCUGGGGCUUGCAGUGGGUACGGGCAGACUAGAGUGCGGUAGGGGUGACUGGAAUUCCUGGUGUAGCGGUGGAAUGCGCAGAUAUCAGGAGGAACACCGAUGGCGAAGGCAGGUCACUGGGCCGCAACUGACGCUGAGGAGCGAAAGCAUGGGGAGCGAACAGG